rnacentral:lncRNA from 1 species
CUGCGACGGCGCUCGGGACCUCCCUCGUCCACUGCUUGAGUUCCAGAAAAAGGUUAAUCUUUCCAACUAGAUUUUCAAGGAUGAGGAUUUUGUUGUUGUUGUUGUUGUUGUUCUCAAAUGUAUUCCCAGGGCUUGGAACAGAGCCUGACAUAUACUAGGCACUCAACAAAUAUUUGUUGAAUGAUUGUAAUGAGUAACACCCAUUUUUGCAGAUCUUUGUCUUCUGAGCCUAGGGCAUAGGUCAUCACUGCAGGGGUGAGAUUGUCAAAAUGGGAGUCUACAGCGCCAGAGACCCAAGUUGAGGAACAGCCUAUAAAAUAACUGGCCUGUACUCUUACAUACAUGAAAGCCAUCAAAGACAAAGACUGAAGAAGAACUUUUGCAGAUUAAAGGACUUUAAGAGACAUGAUCCUGAACCAGAAAAAGUAAAAAAUAAAAAAAUAAAAAGAUCUGUAGAUUAGAUAAUAGUUUUAUAUCCAUGUUAAUUUCCCAUUUGUUGUAAUAUUACUGUGGUUGGGCAAGAGAGUGUCUUUGUUGGUGGAAGUAUCUACUGAAGUAUUUAGGGGUAAAGAGGAAUCAUGUCUGUAACUUAUGCUCAAAAGGUUCAGACAAAAUAUAUGUAAAG